GAUGAACGCUAGCGGCAGGCUUAAUACAUGCAAGUCGAGGGGCAGCAGGCCCCGACGCAAGUCGGGGUGCUGGCGACCGGCAAACGGGUGCGGAACACGUACACAACCUUCCUUUAAGUGGGGAAGUAGCCCAGAGAAAUUUGGUAUUAAUACCCCGUAACAUUAUGAUGUGGCAUCACAUUAUACUUAUAGCUCCGGCGCUUAAUGAUGGGUGUGCGGCUGAUUAGGAGUUGGCGGGGUAACGGCCCACCAAGCCUGCGAUCAGUAACUGGUGUGAGAGCACGACCAGUCACACGGGCACUGAGACACGGGCCCG
rnacentral:rRNA from 1 species